AGUGGAUGGGGAGCAACCUAGUUGUGCGUGUGUAAAGGUAGUGCCAAGAAAAGCGGUGAUCAUGAUGAAAAUCAAUUCCCGGUACCCGAAACCGACACAGGUGGGCAAGUAGAGAAUACUAAGGGGCGCGAGGCAACUCUCUCCAAGGAACUCGGCAAAAUGACCCCGUAACUUAGGGAGAAGGGGUGCCACCGAGAGGUGGUCGCAGUGAAGAGGCCCAGGCGACUGUUUAGCAAAAACAUAGGUCUCUGCAAACUCGAAAGAGGAGGUAUAGGGGCUGACGCCUGCCCAGUGCCGGAAGGUUAAAGAAGUUGGUCAGUCUUAGGAUGAAGCUAGCGACUGAAGCCCCGGUGAACGGCGGCCGUAACUAUAACGGUCCUAAGGUAGCGAAAUUCUUUGGCGGGUAAGUUCCGACACGCACGAAAGGCGUAACGAUCUGGGCGCUGUCUCGGAGAGAGGCUCGGCGAAAUAGGAUUGUCUGUGAAGAUACGGACUACCUGCAUUUGGACAGAAAGACCCUAUGAAGCUUUACUAUAGCUUGGAAUUGUGUUCGGGCUUCCUGUGCGCAGGAUAGGUGGGAGGCGUAGAAGGUAUUCUUGUGGGGAUACUGGAGCCAACGGUGAGGUACCACUCUCAGGAGGCUAGAAUUCUAACUUAAUUAAGGACAGUUUCAGGUGGGUAGUUUGACUGGGGCGGUCGCCUCCAAAAAGGUAACGGAGGCGUACAAAGGUUCCCUCAGACUGGUUGGAAAUCAGUCGAAGAGUGCAAAGGCAGAAGGGAGCUUGACUGCGAGAAGUACAGUUCGAGCAGGGUGGAAACACGGUCUUAGUGAUCCGACGGUGCUGUGUGGAAGGGCCGUCGUUCAACGGAUAAAAGUUACUCUAGGAUAACAGGCUGAUCUCCCCCAAGAGUUCACAUCGACGGGGAGGUUUGGCACCUCGAUGUCGGCUCAUCGCAACCUGGGGCGGAAGUACGUCCCAAGGGUUGGGCUGUUCGCCCAUUAAAGCGGUACGUGAGCUGGGUUCAGAACGUCGUGAGACAGUUCGGUCCAUAUCCGAUGUAGGCGUGAGAAUAUUGAGAGGAGCCUUCCUUAGUACGAGAGGACCGGGAAGGACGCACCGCUGGUGUACCUGUUAUGAUGCCAAUUGUAAACGCAGGGUAGCCAAGUGCGGAGAGGAUAACCGCUGAAAGCAUCUAAGUGGGAAGCCCACCUCAAGAUGAGUAUUCUGGUGUAAGGUCACGGGAAGACGACCCGUAAAUAGGCACGAGGUGGAAGUGCAGAGAUGUAUGAAGCCGAAGUGUACUAAUAGACCGUCGGC
rnacentral:rRNA from 1 species